AUUGAACGCUUGCGGCAGGCUUAACACAUGCAAGUCGAGCGGGCGAGGUUGCUUCGGUAACUGAGCUAGCGGCGGACGGGUGAGUAAAGCUUAGGAAUCUGCCUAUUAGUGGGGGACAACAUUUCGAAAGGGAUGCUAAUACCGCAUACGUCCUACGGGAGAAAGCAGGGGCCCUUCGGGCCUCGCGCUAAUAGAUGAGCCUAAGUCGGAUUAGCUAGUUGGUGGGGUAAAGGCCUACCAAGGCGACGAUCUGUAGCGGGUCUGAGAGGAUGAUCCGCCACACUGGGACUGAGACACGGCCCAGACUCCUACGGGAGACAGCAGUGGGGAAUAUUGGACAAUGGGGGGAACCCUGAUCCAGCCAUGCCGCGUGUGUGAAGAAGGCCUUUUGGUUGUAAAGCACUUUAAGUGGGGAGGAGGCUUACCUGGUUAAUACCUGGGCUAAGUGGACGUUACCCACAGAAUAAGCACCGGCUAACUCUGUGCCAGCAGCCGCGGUAAUACAGAGGGUGCGAGCGUUAAUCGGAUUUACUGGGCGUAAAGCGCGCGUAGGUGGUUAAUUAAGUCAAAUGUGAAAUCCCCGAGCUUAACUUGGGAAUUGCAUUCGAUACUGGUUAGCUAGAGUAUGGGAGAGGAUGGUAGAAUUCCAGGUGUAGCGGUGAAAUGCGUAGAGAUCUGGAGGAAUACCGAUGGCGAAGGCAGCCAUCUGGCCUAAUACUGACACUGAGGUGCGAAAGCAUGGGGAGCAAACAGGAUUAGAUACCCUGGUAGUCCAUGCCGUAAACGAUGUCUACUAGCCGUUGGGGGAUUUGAUCCUUUAGUGGCGCAGCUAACGCGAUAAGUAGACCGCCUGGGGAGUACGGUCGCAAGACUAAAACUCAAAUGAAUUGACGGGGGCCCGCACAAGCGGUGGAGCAUGUGGUUUAAUUCGAUGCAACGCGAAGAACCUUACCUGGCCUUGACAUAGUAGAGACUUUCCAGAGAUGGAUUGGUGCCUUCGGGAAUCUACAUACAGGUGCUGCAUGGCUGUCGUCAGCUCGUGUCGUGAGAUGUUGGGUUAAGUCCCGCAACGAGCGCAACCCUUUUCCUUACUUGCCAGCAUUUCGGAUGGGAACUUUAAGGAUACUGCCAGUGACAAACUGGAGGAAGGCGGGGACGACGUCAAGUCAUCAUGGCCCUUACGGCCAGGGCUACACACGUGCUACAAUGGUCGGUACAAAGGGUUGCUACACAGCGAUGUGAUGCUAAUCUCAAAAAGCCGAUCGUAGUCCGGAUCGCAGUCUGCAACUCGACUGCGUGAAGUCGGAAUCGCUAGUAAUCGCGGAUCAGAAUGCCGCGGUGAAUACGUUCCCGGGCCU
rnacentral:rRNA from 1 species